UGAGGAAUAUUGGGCAAUGGGCGAAAGCCUGACCCAGCCACGCCGUGUGAGUGAUGAAGGCCUUCGGGUUGUAAAGCUCUUUAAGGAGGGAAGAAAACGUUCAGUUCGAAUAGGGCUGAACCUUGACGGUACCUCCCGACUAAGCACCGGCUAACUCUGUGCCAGCAGCCGCGGUAAGACAGAGGGUGCGAACGUUGCUCGGAAUUACUGGGCGUAAAGCGCGUGUAGGCGGACUAGCAAGUCAAGUGUGAAAUCCCUGGGCUCAACCCAGGAACUGCAUUCGAAACUGUUAGUCUUGAGUAGUGGAGAGGGAAGGCGGAAUUCCGGGUGUAGAGGUGAAAUUCGUAGAUAUUAGAAAGAAUACCGAUUGCGAAGGCAGCUUUCUGGAUCAUUACUGACACUGAGGAACGAAAGCAUGGGUAGCGAAGAGG
rnacentral:rRNA from 1 species